rnacentral:rRNA from 1 species
GAUCCUAUGCUGUCGAGAAAAGCCUCUAGCGAGUUUCAUGGCGGCCCGUACCCCAAACCGACUCAGGUGGUCAGGUAGAGAAUACCGAGGCGUUCGGGUGAACUGUGGUUAAGGAACUCGGCAAAAUGCCCCCGUAACUUCGGGAGAAGGGGGGCCAUUGCUGGUGAUGGGACUUGCUCCUUGAGCUGGUGGUGGCCGCAGAGACCAGCGAGAAGCGACUGUUUACUAAAAACACAGGUCCGUGCGAAGCCGUAAGGCGAUGUAUACGGACUGACGCCUGCCCGGUGCUGGAACGUUAAGGGGACCGGUUAGUCCGACUUCGGUCGGGCGAAGCUGAGAACUUAAGCGCCAGUAAACGGCGGUGGUAACUAUAACCAUCCUAAGGUAGCGAAAUUCCUUGUCGGGUAAGUUCCGACCUGCACGAAUGGCGUAACGACUUCUCGACUGUCUCAACCACAGGCCCGGUGAAAUUGCAUUACGAGUAAAGAUGCUCGUUUCGCGCAGCAGGACGGAAAGACCCCGGGACCACUAUAGCUUGAUAUUGGUGUUCGGUUCGGCUUGUGUAGGAUAGGUGGGAGACUUUGAAGCAGCAACGCCAGUUGUUGUGGAGUCGCCGUUGAAAUACCACUCUGGUCGUGCUGGAUGUCUAACCUGGGUCCGUGAUCCGGAUCAGGGACAGUGUCUGGUGGGUAGUUUAACUGGGGCGGUUGCCUCCUAAAGGGUAACGGAGGCGCCCAAAGGUUCCCUCAGCCUGGUUGGCAAUCAGGUGUUGAGUGUAAGUGCACAAGGGAGCUUGACUGUGAGACUGACGGGUCGAGCAGGUACGAAAGUAGGGACUAGUGAUCCGGCGGUGGCUUGUGGAAGCGCCGUCGCUCAACGGAUAAAGGUACCCCGGGGAUAACAGGCUGAUCUUCCCCAAGAGUCCAUAUCGACGGGAUGGUUUGGCACCUCGAUGUCGGCUCGUCGCAUCCUGGGGCUGGAGUAGGUCCCAAGGGUUGGGCUGUUCGCCCAUUAAAGCGGUACGCGAGCUGGGUUUAGAACGUCGUGAGACAGUUCGGUCCCUAUCCGCUGUGCGCGUAGGAGUGUUGAGAAGGGCUGUCCCUAGUACGAGAGGACCGGGACGGACGAACCUCUGGUGUGCCAGUUGUCCUGCCAAGGGCAUGGCUGGUUGGCUACGUUCGGGAGGGAUAACCGCUGAAAGCAUCUAAGCGGGAAGCCUGCUUCGAGAUGAGCACUCCCACCUCCUUGAGAGGGUAAGGCUCCCAGUAGACGACUGGGUUGAUAGGCCGGAUAUGGAAGCCCUGUGAGGGGUGGAGUUGACCGGUACUAAUAGGCCGAGGGCUUGUCCU